UGGGGUCAAAUGCUGUUGCAGAAGAAAAUAAGAUGCUUAGGUUUUGGGUCAGGUGAGAGUUGAAGAGGUUUUAAGUUUUUUAGAACACAGGCUAAGGGAGAAGAAGGAGGAAUGGAGGGUGGAAGGUUGCCCAUAGUAAAAAGGUAAGUUUAGAGAAAAGAGAGGGUAGAGACAUGGAGAGGGGGGUUGGUACUUGCCAUCCAGGGGAGGUGGUACUUGCCACCAAGGUGAAGGAUCAAGGCAGGCGUCCCUGCAGUGGUCAGACACCUCUGGAAUGUGGGUGAAUAAUCAGACAUGCAUCCCCACAGUGAUUAGACACCAAGGGAAGACUGUCUUCCCGAGUCUGUGACCAGCAGCAGAAUUUUGAGUUCAUGGACAAAACGUGUCUCCUCUGUCUCUACCAGAAACGGAAAGGAACCAAAAUUAAGGGAGGGAGAGAUUAAAGAGUGGAGGGAUAUCUAGCAAGAGAGGUUGGAGAAGAGAAUGAAAAGAGGCUACUUACCCGAUUUAAAAUUGGUGAGAAGUUCCUUCGGCUGGGCUGAGGACCCGAGGUCAUGGGUGGAUCUCAUGGAGAGAGGGCGAGGACAGGGGACCGGUCUCCCAAAGGAGUCCUCCUGUCUCAGGUCUUCGGCACCAAAUGUCACAUGAGUCCAUAUGAAGAGAGUCCACCAACAGGCUUUGUGUGAGCAACAAGACUGUUUAUUUUACUUGGGUGCAACUGGGCUGAAUCUGAAAAGAGAGUCAGCAAAGGGAGAUAGGGGUACAGCAGUUUUAUAGGAUUUGGGUAGGUAGUGGAAAAUUACAGUUAAAGGUGGUUAUCUCUUGUGGGCAGGGAUGGGGAUCACAAGGUGCAGGGUGGGGAGAUCAUGAGACUCAUUGUCUAGGGGAGGAAUGUCACAAGGUUGAUGGAUUAGUUGGGGUGGGGCAGGAGCAAAUCACAAUGAUGGAAUGUCAUCUUUUGUGGUUCUUCAGUUGCUCCAGGCCCUCUAGAUGUAUACGUGCAGGUCACAGGGGUUA
rnacentral:lncRNA from 10 species